UGACGUUCGUCGGCGAGACGAUACCCGACAACGAGAGGAAACCAGACCCCAUGAAUAAGAAUGGCAUACCUCCAUCAUUUUGGAUAAUAAAGUUAUCUGAAAAUAGUAUCGGCCUACUUAUCUAAAGACCUCCAGUAGCCAUUACAGAAUCUCGAAGAAGCUCUGCGUACCAACGGCAAGUCUGAAAACAAAUAAUGGUGAUAACGUGUUGUGUCAGCGGUUGUUACAGCCGGCAAUGUAAUGAUUUAAGCCUUUCCUUCCAUCGUCUACCGAAAUAUCCGGAAUAGCCUAUUGCUACGGCCUUUCAGACAAAAUUUACCGAUCCUGGCCUUCUCAUUGGCUGAAAUUUCGAAAAGAUAUGUAAGAAAAAUGACUUGCCAUUUUGUCCAGACUAUGUAACAAGUCUACAUCUUGGGGUUAAAGACAGUAUGCUAAUCCCAUGGUUAGAACUGAACACUCCAGAGGGAAGGAAAUCUCCUUGAUAAAGAAAACCGAAUACAUGUGGCUGAAGCCCUUCUGGACCUCUCAGACAUACAUAACAUCGCAGAAACAGAAUCUACAGCAACAGAGUCUGUAUGGACACCACCAAUAGAUAUCCAUGAUACAUGUUUGAAAAAAAGUUGGAAAAUAAGCAACUUGGACAAGAACUGAUUAGGUUGCAGACAUAAAGAGAUGAUCUUGAAACUAAGCUCCAGCAAGUCACAUUUGGAGUGAAGACUAUUGAAAACAAUGACAGCCGUGCAUCUUUCUUCACCGGAUUACCAUCCUUUGCUGCCUUUUCAUGUUUACUUGGAUUCCGUAGAUGUGUGGCUAAAAUUGGAAGUCCUUUAUUCAGCAUAUCUGACAGAUGUCCUUCUGACACACUGUGACUUGGGAAGUACAGAUACAUGGUUCAUGUGAACUUUCCAAGACAAAAUUCAAGGACUUUUCAAGGCCCUAUUCACCUUUUUAAAGAAAUUUUUCAGAAAUAUUAAGUACAUUUUACAAUGAUAAAUGCAGAAAACAUAACAAUAUGUAUACCAAUUUCAGAUAUUUUAAUAAAGGUCAGAGGUU